UCGAGGAUCUUCGGCAAUGGGCGCAAGCCUGACCGAGCGACGCCGCGUGUGCGAAGAAGGCCUUCGGGUUGUAAAGCACUGUCGGGGGGGAGAAAGCCGCAAGGUUGAUCGACCCCCGGAGGAAGCACGGGCUAAGUUCGUGCCAGCAGCCGCGGUAAGACGAACCGUGCGAACGUUGUUCGGAUUCACUGGGCUUAAAGGGCGCGUAGGCGGGCACUCAAGUCGGUGGUGAAAUCUUUCGGCUCAACCGGAAAACGGCCUCCGAUACUGGGUGUCUCGAGGGGGGUAGGGGCAUGUGGAACUUCGGGUGGAGCGGUGAAAUGCGUAGAUAUCCGAAGGAACGCCGGUGGCGAAAGCGACGUGCUGGACCCCUUCUGACGCUGAGGCGCGAAAGCCAGGGGAGCAAACGGGAUUAGAUACCCCCGUAGUCC
rnacentral:rRNA from 1 species